CCUACGGGGGGCAGCAGUCGAGAAUCAUUCACAAUGGGGGAAACCCUGAUGGUGCGACGCCGCGUGGGGGAAUGAAGGUCUUCGGAUUGUAAACCCCUGUCAUGUGGGAGCAAAUUAAAAAGAUAGUACCACAAGAGGAAGAGACGACUAACUCUGUGCCAGCAGCCGCGGUAAUACAGAGGUCUCAAGCGUUGUUCGGAAUCACUGGGCGUAAAGCGUGCGUAGGCUGUUUCGUAAGUCGUGUGUGAAAGGCGCGGGCUCAACCCGCGGACGGCACAUGAUACUGCGAGACUAGAGUAAGGGAGGGGGAACCGGAAUUCGCGGUGUAGCAGUGAAAUGCGUAGAUAUCGAGAGGAACACUCGUGGCGAAGGCGGGUUCCUGGACAUUAACUGACGCUGAGGCACGAAGGCCAGGGGAGCGAAAGGGAUUAGAUACCCGUGUAGUC
rnacentral:rRNA from 1 species